ACGGAAUAGAUACCCGGGUAGUCCACGCCCUAAACGAUGUCUACUAGUUGUCGGGUCUUAAUUGACUUGGUAAACGCAGCUAAACGCGUGAAAGUAGACCGCCUGGGGAGUACGGUCGCAAGAUUAAAACUCAAAGGAAUUGACGGGGACCCGCACAAGCGGUGGAUGAUGUGGAUUAAUUCGAUGCAACGCGAAAAACCUUACCUACCCUUGACAUGGAUGGAAUCCUUGAGAGAUUGAGGAGUGCCCGAAAGGGAACCAUUACACAGGUGCUGCAUGGCUGUCGUCAGCUCGUGUCGUGAGAUGUUGGGUUAAGUCCCGCAACGAGCGCAACCCUUGUCAUUAGUUGCUACGAAAGGGCACUCUAAUGAGACUGCCGGUGACAAACCGGAGGAAGGUGGGGAUGACGUCAAGUCCUCAUGGCCCUUAUGGGUAGGGCUUCACACGUCAUACAAUGGUACAUACAGAGGGCCGCCAACCCGCGAGGGGGAGCUAAUCCCAGAAAGUGUAUCGUAGUCCGGAUUGUAGUCUGCAACUCG
rnacentral:rRNA from 1 species